AACGAACGCUGGCGGCGUGCUUAACACAUGCAAGUCGAACGGUGAAGGCGGAGCUUGCUCUGCUGGAUCAGUGGCGAACGGGUGAGUAACACGUGAGCAAUCUGCCCCUGACUCUGGGAUAAGCGCUGGAAACGGCGUCUAAUACCGGAUACGAGCUGCGAAGGCAUCUUCAGCAGCUGGAAAGAACUUCGGUCAGGGAUGAGCUCGCGGCCUAUCAGCUAGUUGGUGAGGUAACGGCUCACCAAGGCGUCGACGGGUAGCCGGCCUGAGAGGGGAACCGGCAAAAAUGGGACGGAGACACGGGCCAGACUCCGACGGGGGGCAGCAGUGGGGAAUAGUGCACAAUGGGCGCAAGCCUGAUGCAGCAACGCCGCGUGAGGGACGACGGCCUUCGGGUUGUAAACCUCUUUUAGCAGGGAAGAAGCGAAAGUGACGGUACCUGCAGAAAAAGCGCCGGCUAACUACGUGCCAGCAGCCGCCGUAACAC
rnacentral:rRNA from 1 species